UACGGGGGGUGCGAGCGUUAAUCGGAAUAACUGGGCGUAAAGGGCACGCAGGCGGACUUUUAAGUGAGGUGUGAAAUCCCCGGGCUUAACCUGUGAAUGGCAUUUCAUACUGGGUGUCUAGAGUACGUUAGGGAGGGGUAGAAUUCCACGUGUAGCGGUGAAAUGCGUAGAGAUGUGGAGGAAUACCGGAGGCGAAGGCAGUCGGUUGGGAAGGUACUGACGCUCAUGUGCGAAAGCGUGGGGAGCAAACAGG
rnacentral:rRNA from 1 species